AAAACCGAGAGACAAUACAACCAGUAGCGUUGGAUCCCUUGGCACGUCGUUCGAUGAAGACCGUUGCAAAAUGCGAUAAGUGGUGUGAUAUGCAAGUCCAAAACUUAUACGUGAACCAUCGAAUUGUUGAACGCACUGCAUCGAGCCUUAUCCAGGAACGAUACGCCCCAUUGAGCGUCAUUAUGUCUUCGCGACUUGUUGCUUUUCACAGAGCGACCUGUCCGGGCUCGGGAUUCACGACCCUUGGGUCGCGCUUCCUCAGAUACAUUGGCUGCGCCGGCGUGAACGGCGACCUUGUCAUGAAUGUCGAGGUGUGCCGUGAGCUCUGCAUGCAGGAUCCUUCGCAACGUCGAUGGAUCAGACGCGUUCCGGCCUCUGAGCCGGGAUUGCAACUUCUCCACAUGACCUCACGGGGGUGGGACGACCCGCUAGACUUAAGCAUAUUAAUCAGCGGAGGAAAAGAAACUAACAAGGAUUCCCCC
rnacentral:rRNA from 1 species